UACGUAGGUGGCAAGCGUUACUCGGAAUCACUAGGCGUAAAGCGCAGGUAGGCGGUUCGGUAAGUCUCUUGUGAAAGCUCCCGGCUCAACUGGGAGAGGUCAAGGGAAACUGCCGGGCUAGAAUGUGGCAGAGGAAGCUGGAAUUCCCGGUGUAGCGGUGAAAUGCGUAGAGAUCGGGAGGAAUACCUAUGGCGAAAGCAGGCUUCCGGGCCAUCACUGACACUGAUCUGCGAAAGCUAGGGGAGCAAACAGG
rnacentral:rRNA from 1 species